CUUCCGGGGCAGAGCGGAAAUGAUUUUUUUUUUCUUGAAAAAACUAACAAACAGGCAGUGAAGCUAAAUUGUACUUUUAGGGAAACUUAAUUUUCCAAAAUUCCAAAUUGUUUUCUGUGUUUUUUUUCUUCUUUCCUUUCGCCUUCGUAUUUUACUACAAACAGAGGACCAAGGAAUCAGAAAAAACUGAGUGAAUUAACCAACUUUACGAGGGAAUGUGACUUGAUAUGGAUCCCACCUUAUCUCUGGUGUUUUGGUGGAAACAAGUCUUAAUGGCUGCCGCUAGAUGUCACUGAUGCCCUUGUUCCACAAAAACUGCAGCGGGAAGGCCAUCAUGAGGAGAGGUUUGUAACUCAUGAGACAGAUGAGGGAUGAAUAUGUGAACGUACUGGAUCCGUCCUGCGUUCGUCCCAGCCAUUUCCCCUCCGGGUUGCCCUGUACACGGAUGAUGUCCACGCAGUCUCCC